rnacentral:rRNA from 1 species
GUUAUAUGGUCAAGUGAAGAAGCGCAUACGGUGGAUGCCUUGGCAGUCAGAGGCGAUGAAAGACGUGGUAGCCUGCGAAAAGCUUCGGGGAGUCGGCAAACAGACUUUGAUCCGGAGAUGUCUGAAUGGGGGAACCCAGCCAUCAUAAGAUGGUUAUCUUGUACUGAAUACAUAGGUGCAAGAGGCGAACCAGGGGAACUGAAACAUCUAAGUACCCUGAGGAAAAGAAAUCAACCGAGAUUCCCUUAGUAGUGGCGAGCGAACGGGGACUAGCCCUUAAGUGGCUUUGAGAUUAGCGGAACGCUCUGGAAAGUGCGGCCAUAGUGGGUGAUAGCCCUGUACGCGAAAAUCUCUUAGUCAUGAAAUCGAGUAGGACGGAGCACGAGAAACUUUGUCUGAAUAUGGGGGGACCAUCCUCCAAGGCUAAAUACUACUGACUGACCGAUAGUGAACUAGUACCGUGAGGGAAAGGCGAAAAGAACCCCGGAGAGGGGAGUGAAAUAGAUCCUGAAACCGUAUGCGUACAAGCAGUGGGAGCAGACUUUGUUCUGUGACUGCGUACCUUUUGUAUAAUGGGUCAGCGACUUAUUUUCAGUGGCGAGCUUAACCGAAUAGGGGAGGCGUAGCGAAAGCGAGUCUUAAUAGGGCGUCUAGUCGCUGGGAAUAGACCCGAAACCGGGCGAUCUAUCCAUGGGCAGGUUGAAGGUUGGGUAACACUAACUGGAGGACCGAACCGACUACCGUUGAAAAGUUAGCGGAUGACCUGUGGAUCGGAGUGAAAGGCUAAUCAAGCUCGGAGAUAGCUGGUUCUCCUCGAAAGCUAUUUAGGUAGCGCCUCAUGUAUCACUGUAGGGGGUAGAGCACUGUUUCGGCUAGGGGGUCAUCCCGACUUACCAAACCGAUGCAAACUCCGAAUACCUACAAGUGCCGAGCAUGGGAGACACACGGCGGGUGCUAACGUCCGUCGUGAAAAGGGAAACAACCCAGACCGUCAGCUAAGGUCCCAAAGUUAUGGUUAAGUGGGAAACGAUGUGGGAAGGCUUAGACAGCUAGGAGGUUGGCUUAGAAGCAGCCACCCUUUAAAGAAAGCGUAAUAGCUCACUAGUCGAGUCGGCCUGCGCGGAAGAUGUAACGGGGCUCAAACCAUACACCGAAGCUACGGGUAUCAUCUUCGGAUGAUGCGGUAGAGGAGCGUUCUGUAAGCCUGUGAAGGUGAGUUGAGAAGCUUGCUGGAGGUAUCAGAAGUGCGAAUGCUGACAUGAGUAACGACAAUGGGUGUGAAAAACACCCACGCCGAAAGACCAAGGUUUCCUGCGCAACGUUAAUCGACGCAGGGUUAGUCGGUCCCUAAGGCGAGGCUGAAAAGCGUAGUCGAUGGAAAACAGGUUAAUAUUCCUGUACUUCUGGUUAUUGCGAUGGAGGGACGGAGAAGGCUAGGCCAGCUUGGCGUUGGUUGUCCAAGUUUAAGGUGGUAGGCUGGAAUCUUAGGUAAAUCCGGGAUUCUAAGGCCGAGAGCUGAUGACGAGUGUUCUUUUAGAACACGAAGUGGUUGAUGCCAUGCUUCCAAGAAAAGCUUCUAAGCUUCAGGUAACCAGGAACCGUACCCCAAACCGACACAGGUGGUUGGGUAGAGAAUACCAAGGCGCUUGAGAGAACUCGGGUGAAGGAACUAGGCAAAAUGGCACCGUAACUUCGGGAGAAGGUGCGCCGGUGAGGGUGAAGGACUUGCUCCGUAAGCUCAUGCCGGUCGAAGAUACCAGGCCGCUGCGACUGUUUAUUAAAAACACAGCACUCUGCAAACACGAAAGUGGACGUAUAGGGUGUGACGCCUGCCCGGUGCCGGAAGGUUAAUUGAUGGGGUUAGCUAACGCGAAGCUCUUGAUCGAAGCCCCGGUAAACGGCGG